UACGUAGGGGGGCGAGCGUUGUCCGGACUUAUUGGGCGUAAAGAGCUCGUAGGCGGUUUGGCAAGUCGGGUGUGAAAACUCCGGGCUCAACUCGGAGACGCCACUCGAUACUGCCAUGACUUGAGUCCGGUAGGGGAGUGCGGAAUUCCUGGUGUAGCGGUGAAAUGCGCAGAUAUCAGGAGGAACACCGGUGGCGAAGGCGGCACUCUGGGCCGGUACUGACGCUGAGGAGCGAAAGCGUGGGGAGCGAACAGG
rnacentral:rRNA from 1 species